rnacentral:tRNA from 1 species
GGGCACUUAGCUCAGUGGUAGAGCGCGCGCUUUGCAUGCGCGAGGCCGGGAGUUCAAUCCUCCCAGUGUCCA